AGGCACGCGGCGCAUCAGCCAUGCUUCGGGCGCGGGUGGCUAACAGGAACGGUCAGAGAUGUCGAUCUCGAGCUUUGCACGGUGGUAGGCAGGCACAGUCAGGCCAUGGGCGACAGACGAGCGGUGCCGACCAGAGUAGUCUGCAGUUUCUGGUUCUGGCCGAGCUGAUUAUCUACCCAGGAUACCUGGGCCUUUCCACUCUGGCUGCUGGUUCUGGGUAGGCUACCAUUAAGGUUCAGCUCGCCGUCAUCAGUACGUAUUGAGACAAGCCGAGAUUGUCGGUGCUUUGCGUUGUUCGAUUCUCCGAGGUAGCUGCCCAAUCGUGAUCGACAUGAGAAUUCCCGUGAAUAUUUUUAUUGGAUGCCACUGCAGGGGGUUAAUACGUGGUUGAUUGAGUAUAUAGGUCGAGAUCUAGAAAAGUCUGAUUCAAUUCCAUUGAACUCCUAAACCUGUGACGAUUUUUUUUAUCUAUUGGAGAUACCACUGUAGAGAGUGGAACAACUUAUGAGACCAGAAGCAUAAAUUUUCUCCAUGUUAACUUGAUUAUCAGCAUAUUAUUAUCAUAUUUAGCCUGUUGGAAAUUUUCAUUUCAUGUAGUCUUUGUUGCUAUUUCGUAUUAAGCUGACCUAGAAAACCUCACGUCUUGAUUCGAUAAUUUUAUGAUCUGUAACCACAUAGAGCUUAGCGCAAGCUCAGUUGCACGAUAUUAUGUCAAUUAGUAUUAUUCUAGGCAACCAUGGUGCAUCCUACUGCAUAGGAAACUUAUGGAAAUGUAUAUAUAAACUAGAUUGUACUUCUGGCUGGAUCGUCCUAACUUCAUCCUUGAAGCCUGAACACCAGAUCCAGGUGUGAAUUUAACUUCACCGUCGGUUAUUUGGUCAGUGUUCUGCAUUCUAUUAGUGUCCACCCAUUAAUGAGGUAUGUAAUACAAUUUAAAGCAAUAUAAGAGCUGAUGCUUCGUCUAAGUGCAGAACAACAUUGUACUCACUUCUAACUCACCUUGGCGUCGCCUUAGUAAUUUUACAAUAGAGGCUUCUUUUAUUCUUCAACUUGUGGCUACCACAAAGGCACGGCGUAUCACCAUCCGGUCUCAGGAAGAUCAUGGGCUUGGGCAUUUAUCUUGCUUUCAUAUCGUGAGGGAUGGCUUCACCCUAAAUCUCUGUUUUCCUGAAACUUUAUAUAUUCAAAAUAUCCCACUUAUGGUUUAUAGGUCUUUAGAGGCUCUUCUUUAAAUCAUUUGAUUUUCUUAGUCAUGUAAUGCCUAAUAUUAUAGUUAGGACUUAUAAGUCGUUGGAUAUGCAAAUUAUAAACAUCGAUUUUCCUGACAUCCUCUGUUCUCAUGUUAAUGAGAGUUGUAUUUUGGAUAAUUUUCAGGUAAUAAAUGUGUGGGAGCACAAGAGAAAGUUUUGCAUUCCCAUCCUGCUUGCGAAUAUCAUACUGUGCUCAUCAGGUAAUUUGUUUCCAUGGACAACUUCUGGCACGUAGGCUGCAAGUGAUGUAGACAAAGUAAGUCUAUUAAGAGAUAAAUAUAAAAUACAUGUCCCAUGUCUGGAAUUGUUUGGCCUUCCCAUGGUAAGCUCCUACAUAAUUAUAUACGUUGGCGUUUCCAUGAAUGACCAACCGCAAAGUGCCGCAUGUUCUGGCAAGUUUGAAGUUGGAGCGAUAGUGUUAUUGUAAGAAACAGAAUCCAGCACGAUUAUUGAUGUAUGCCCUAGAAGAGUAAGUCCCUCUUUGUUCCCUGCUCUGCUCCUUGCUUAGUAUUACACAUCGGAUUGAAGUUCUAAAUCCUAGAUUUCAUAGAUGUAAUGUUAGUGUUCUUUAUGCAUAUAGUGCAUUUCACAUUCUGUUCCCCCUGAACUCUCUGUACUCAACAAACCUGAAUCAGGCAAAAUUUCUAUAUACCUAGAAGCCUUCAGGUACCCUGCAAUCUAAUUGACUGAUUAGACCUUAGAUUAACAAUACACGGCCUCCACAUUUCUUGUGUGUAUAUAUCUUUUUGGAUUCAGAUAAUUAAACCAUUACGGACUGUUAAUUCUCCAUGAUUUUACAAAAUGUAAGAAAGCAGGGAAAGACUUAUAGUUUGCAGGUAUUGCAUUCUGUUUUUGCACUAAGCUCAUAUGUUGCAAUUUACCGUGGCUUGGUAUACAUUGCGCUGCAUGGCUACAAACAAACACGCUUAUUGUUUUGGACUGUACGCUACUGAAUAUUCUCUUCCGGUCAAAUUUUCUUCCCGUGUCAGUGUCGUGUUUUUCUUCCUUCUCACUGGUGAGUAGAUAUUUACAUAUACCAGUAUUAAUAAUUGAGAUAGGAUUCUUAAUCUAUUCCAGCUAGGUCAAAGGGAAUAAUAUUUUUGAUUAUGUGCCACACCAUCCAAAUGGUUCUGUCUGCAUUUUGCGGGCAAAAAUACCGAGGCGGCUGAAAAAUUUGUAUCAGAGAAAUGCUUUGAAGCAUUGUUGUGCUUUGGUAGUGAUUGAUCUGUUUCUUUGGAACUGUUGUUUGCAGUAUUUGUGAAGGGGCAAAUUACUCGGUGGUUCCACAGAGCCAAGUCACAGGAUCUCAGUAUUGACCGAGUAAGAGCGUUCAGGAUGUUUCAAGCCCGCAGACACUAAUAAGGCAAGAUAAUGCCUUAUUAGUAUGCCAGAUCCCAGCAUGGAGUUCACGGCUGGCUGUCACCAACUCUGACCCUGCAGUUCAGAAACGGGAUCCUCACAAUGUGGAGACUUUGGAAGACGCGCAACGAUGCCAUCUUCAAAAACUUGCCCCACACAGACAUGACCUGGUUCAAUCUAUCCUUGAAGAAGCCAAACCGUGGAUGAUCACCGGUGCUAGGGCGUUACGCCGGCUUCCCCUGGAUGCUAUGCCCCCUGAUGACCCAGCGGGACAGAAUCUUCAGGACUAGCAAAGUUGGCUUUGUACAGUUUUUUUGCCUUGCUUUCUCUGAAUUUUUUUUCCUCUUCUUGAUAGUUUUUUUCUAAUACACAAUGAGUUCGAGAAAAAAGUAAGGCAAGAUAAUACCGACACUUCUAUUUUGCAUUGUAAAUAUCGUUUAGUGGACUAUAAGUGGUGAGGACUUAUUCUUUGGCA